rnacentral:lncRNA from 1 species
CCGGCAGUAGUACCUACUUUUUAAAGUGUAAGCAAGGAAAGUUGGCCCGCACCUGUAGUCCCAUCUACCUGGGAGGCUGAGGUGGAAGAAUUGCUUGAGCCCAGUUGGUCGAGGCUGCAAUGAGCCUUGAUCACGCCACUGCACUCCAGCCUGGGCAACAGAACAAGACCCUGUCUCAAACAAAAAAGUGUAUGUAAGAAUAAAAAUUAAUAGAUUAGGCACAGGAUGGGUGUUUAAUUCUCGGCAAUCACCACUAAGUUUUCAUACUGAGGCUUAUUCAUUCCAUGGGCAAAACAUUGCGCUAUGUGUGGUGCCUGGGGUGGGCUCCAAAUUCCAGUCCUCUCCUCGCUUGCGAUAGCUGUGUGAUCCAUUCCUAAGUUUCCUUAUUUGUCCACAGAGCGUACACAGGGUUUUUAUGAAAACUAGAUCAGAUAAUCAGACACAGUUAAAAUAGCACGCGCUCAGUAAAAUUACAUAUUAGUGGAAGAGACAAGCCUUGAAUAAAUCGCCUUUCGGGGAGUAUGACCCCCUCCCCGAAACCCACUCAGGCGCUGCUCGCUCGCACGCCCACUGAGCUCGGAGCGGAGCCCGAGCCCUUUCCCAGCACACAGGGUUCAUUUCCAGACUGAAAGACAUCCCAGAGACAACUCCAGAGGCCAAGGCGGGUCGGCUUCCUGCGUGGGCCCAGCGCCGGGCACUGAAAGCGCCCUUUCUCCCCGCCGCAUUCCCGGUGUCGACUUACUAGCUGCAAGCCUCUGCCUGCCUUCCUGCGCGCCGUUCCCCGCUAGUCGCUGCUGCUGGCGCGCACUCGCCGGGUUUUUCCUCCCACGGCCUCGAGAUGGUGGUGAAUGUGGCACGGAGGAGCCGGGCCUUCCAACCCGGUGGGCCCGAGCUCCGAAAGGCCCCCUCGGCAGUGAGAGGGGCGGGAGCCCGCGGGGGCCGCGCCCUUCUCUCGCUUCGGACUGCGCAACGCUGCGCUCUGGGCUGACAGGCGGAUAAAACGGUCCCAUCAAGACUGAGAAAAAGCACACCAGCUAUUGGCACAGCGUGGGCAGUGGGGCCUACAGGAUGACUGACUUAGUCUACAGAGAUCCCGGCGUACUUAAGCAGGUAGUAAUGAUGGACAGAUGAAGACUCUUAAGAUGACAGAAGGUGAUUUUUCUGGUGAUCGAGGACUUCCGGGGUAAUGACAGUGAUGAAAUGCAGGGGACCUGGUUGCCCCCAAGUUUCCUGGCAGUGUGUGAUACUGAGGAGGUGAGCUUGUUUCUGGAGCUGUGCUUUAAGGUAAAGUUGAUCAGCUUAAUCCUCCUGAUCCCUUUCCCAUCGGAUCUGAACACUGGUCUUGGUGGUCGUAAAAGGAGGAAAAGUAAUAGUGAAGCUGGCCUAAAUGUUGUAAUCUGGUAUAUGGCAUGUGGGCUAGUUUCAGACAGGUUUCAGAGAUGGUUGGAUCUCUGAAAUUGUAAAAUGAAGUAUAAUCUUAGGCUAAGGGAAGGAUGCGUGUGAAGCUCUGGAGGUUGGUAUAGUAAUAGCUGACCUAUUACUGCAUUUGGGAGGGAUCUGUCAUAGCUUCCUUGCCUCUUAAUUAAGGGUGGUGUUUUUUUCUUUUAGAUUCAUGUUACAUGUAAAGCUGUCCUCAUUUGUGACUAUGGACCUAUGGAGUUGGGACAAUCUCUAUGGGAAGCAGAAGGCAAGGACCCCGGUCAUUUUAGGUAGAAACAACAGCAUGCUAAUGCAAAAAAUUAUGCAGUGUGCUACUGAACUUCAGAGGUGAUCAAUAAAAGAAGAAUAAAAAGACUAAUAAAAGUAUAUUUGUGUUUGUAUUUUUUUGUAGAGACCGAACUGGUCUCUU